CAAGAAUUGUUGGGCUUAAAAAUCCAGGAUGGUGUUGUUAAUGCAACAUCUCUGUUUGAAGAGUUGGUGACUGUAGUUUUUGGAAACUAUAGUGAUGGGCUAAUCUACCAGACUGUGGAGCUGCCUCAGAAUGGCGAGUUUUCUUGUGCCAAUGAAACUGGUUCUCAUAGAUCGUAAAGGAUGCUUCUAUUAUGUUUAUUUGGCUUCAACAUUACCUAUAGCAAGAUGCAUUUUUUUCGCUUGUUUUUUUCCCUGCAAGACCUUAUUCCUUGCACUCUUGAGUCUUUUGAGAAGGAGAAAAUUAUUGUUGGGAGGGAAAAAGACUGAUCAUGAGUUCCUGAAACAGAGUGCAACAGUGAAGAACAAGAGGCUUUUUUGUUGAUGAGUCGGCCUAAAUAUAUUUUAGAUGAUUGCCAAAAAGUUGUUAUUGAAGGAUUGGAGUCAAGCUUAGGAUCAGUUUAUCCUAUGGGUCUGUACUACAAGGUUGAGUGCGUCAACCGACAACGCAGAAAUCAGGUUUAUAGACGAGUGCUUUAUGCCGGGGUGGACGAGCUUCCGUUAGGCCAUUGAUUUCCCAAUGAAGGAGCUUUGAGGCAAGCACUGCAAUGAUGUAUAUUUGUAUAUGGCAUAAUCUGUAGGAACCCUCUCCUUGUUUCCUUUUGUUCUUGGUUUUGCUCCAGUUGAUUACUGCCCUAUGAGAUCUGCACAGACAAAAUUCAUGUUGAUUUGUUUAGUUGUGGCAUGUAUCGCAGCUACACCAGUCUGAUAAUUUAGUCCUCAAAUAAGGUAGUUUCCGUCUCCCCUUUACAUGUGAUGGACAUACGUGCUUGUUGCUUGCCGUUGCUGAAGCGAGGCCUCUUAAGUGUACUUUUGUGUUCUCCCUGAUUAUGUUAAUCAGGCCGUAUGUGUUCUGUUGGUCUAUUUUCAUUUGUCUACCUCUACAGAAUUUCAAAGAUGUAAUUUUCUAUCAUGUAGUUGCCUCUUUCUUCAUAUACUAACCCUCUCCUAAAUGAUAGAUGAGGCAGGUGACUUAUCUCAUGUAUUUUCUUUUCUGUAAAUUACAACAAGUCUAUUUUAGUCAACUUAAGGGUAUGUUGAAUAUGACUGUUAAUGAAGAUAGUCAUUCUUGUUA